AACAUCGCCUCUUGAAUUUCAUAAGAGGUCCAGCCUGGCCAGUGACACAAUUAAACGGCCGCGGUACCCUGACCGUGCGAAGGUAGCAUAAUCACUUGUUCUCUAAAUAAGGACUUGUAUCAACGGCAUCACGAGGGUUAUACUGUCUCCUCUUUUUAAUCAGUGAAACUGACUUUCCCGUGAAGAGGCGGGAAUGAAGAUACAAGACGAGAAGACCCCAUGGAGCUUUAAACCCAAUAGUAACCUCUAUUUACUACUACUACUUAAUCAAGAAGGUCUAUCUACUGGUUUUAGGUUGGGGUGACCCUGGAGUAAAACUUAGCCUCCAUGAUGAAUAGAAUUUAUUCUAAUCCCAGAGCCACUGCUCUACGAAUCAAAAUUUUGACAUAAACUGAUCCGCCUAGCGAUCAACGAACCAAGUUACCCUGGGGAUAACAGCGCAAUCCAUUUCAAGAGCCCCUAUCGACAAAUGGGUUUACGACCUCGAUGUUGGAUCAGGGUAUCCCAGUGGUGCAGCCGCUACUAAAGGUUUGUUUGUUCAACAAUUAAAACCCU
rnacentral:rRNA from 1 species